UUAAGUGAAUAAGGGCGCACGGUGGAUGCCUAGGCACUAGGAGCCGAUGAAGGACGGGACUAACACCGAUAUGCUCCGGGGAGCUGUAAGUAAGCUUUGAUCCGGAGAUUUCCGAAUGGGGCAACCCAAUAUCUUUGAUAGGAUAUUACGUUACACUGAAUACAUAGGUGUAUCGAGGAACACGCAGGGAACUGAAACAUCUCAUUACCUGCAGGAAGAGAAAGAAAAUUCGAUUCCCUUAGUAGCGGCGAGCGAAACGGGAAAAGCCCAAACCAAAGAGCUUGCUCUUUGGGGUUGUAGGACUGGGACAUGAGACUGCAAUGGAUAGCAGAAGCCAACUGGAAAGUUGCGCAACAUAGGGUAAUAGCCCCGUAUGCGAAAUCCAAAUCAGCUCUACCAGUAUCCUGAGUACGGCGGAACACGAGAAAUUCCGUCGGAAUCCGGGAGGACCAUCUCCCAAGGCUAAAUACUCCCUAGUGACCGAUAGUGAACCAGUACCGUGAGGGAAAGGUGAAAAGCACCCCGGAAGGGGAGUGAAACAGUACCUGAAACCGUGUGCCUACAAGUAGUCAAAGCCCGUUAAUGGGUGAUGGCGUACCUUUUGUAGAAUGGACCGGCGAGUUACGAUUUCAUGCGAGGUUAAGUUGAAAAGACGGAGCCGCAGCGAAAGCGAGUCUGAAUAGGGCGAAUAAGUAUGAGGUCGUAGACCCGAAACCAAGUGACCUACCCAUGUCCAGGUUGAAGGUGCGGUAAUACGCACUGGAGGACCGAACCCACGCACGUUGAAAAGUGCGGGGAUGAGGUGUGGGUAGCGGAGAAAUUCCAAUCGAACUUGGAGAUAGCUGGUUCUCUCCGAAAUAGCUUUAGGGCUAGCCUCGGAUAUGCGAAUCAUGGAGGUAGAGCACUGUUUGGACUAGGGGCCCUUCUCGGGUUACCGAAUUCAGAUAAACUCCGAAUGCCAUUGAUUUAGAUCCGGGAGUCAGACUGCGAGUGAUAAGAUCCGUAGUCAAAAGGGAAACAGCCCAGACCACCAGCUAAGGUCCCAAAGUAUCUGUUAAGUGGAAAAGGAUGUGGGGUUGCACAGACAACUAGGAUGUUGGCUCAGAAGCAGCCAUCAUUUAAAGAGUGCGUAAUAGCUCACUAGUCGAGUGACCCUGCGCCGAAAAUGUACCGGGGCUAAAACAAUUUACCGAAGCUGUGGAUAACACGAAAGUGUUAUGGUAGGAGAGCGUUCUAUGUGUGAAGAAGGUAUACCGUGAGGAGUGCUGGAACGCAUAGAAGUGAGAAUGCCGGUAUGAGUAGCGCAAGAUGGGUGAGAAUCCCAUCCACCGUAAGACUAAGGUUUCCAGGGGAAGGCUCGUCCGCCCUGGGUUAGUCGGGACCUAAGGAGAGACCGAAAGGUGUAUCCGAUGGACAACAGGUUGAUAUUCCUGUACUAGUGUAUAUAGUGAUGGAGGGACGCAGUAGGCUAACUAAACCCAGCGAAUGGAAGUGCUGGGCUAAACAGUGAGGUGUGCUAGGAGUUAAAUGCUUCUAGCUAUAACAUUGAGCUGUGAUGGGGAGCGAAGUUUAGUAGCGAAGUUAGUGACGUCACACUGCCAAGAAAAGCUUCUAGCGUUUAAGUAUACACUACCCGUACCGCAAACCGACACAGGUAGUCGAGGCGAGUAGCCUCAGGUGAGCGAGAGAACUCUCGUUAAGGAACUCGGCAAAAUGACCCCGUAACUUCGGGAGAAGGGGUGCUGACCGCAAGGUCAGCCGCAGUGAAUAGGCCCAAGCGACUGUUUAUCAAAAACACAGGUCUCUGCAAAAUCGAAAGAUGACGUAUAGGGGCUGACGCCUGCCCGGUGCUGGAAGGUUAAGAGGAGAGGUUAGCGCAAGCGAAGCUUUGAAUUGAAGCCCCAGUAAACGGCGGCCGUAACUAUAACGGUCCUAAGGUAGCGAAAUUCCUUGUCGGGUAAGUUCCGACCCGCACGAAAGGCGUAACGAUUUGGGCACUGUCUCAACGAGAGACUCGGUGAAAUUUUAGUACCUGUGAAGAU
rnacentral:rRNA from 1 species